rnacentral:rRNA from 1 species
UACAGAGGGGGCAAGCGUUGUUCGGAAUUACUGGGCGUAAAGGGCGCGUAGGCGGCCCGCUAAGUCGAACGUGAAAUCCCCGAGCUCAACUCGGGAACUGCGUCCGAUACUGGCGGGCUUGAAUCCGGGAGAGGGAUGCGGAAUUCCAGGUGUAGCGGUGAAAUGCGUAGAUAUCUGGAGGAACACCGGUGGCGAAGGCGGCAUCCUGGACCGGCAUUGACGCUGAGGCGCGAAAGCUAGGUGAGCAAACGGG